AUUGAACGCUGGCGGCAGGCCUAACACAUGCAAGUCGAACGAGCGGCGGACGGGUGAGUAAUGUCUGGGAAACUGCCUGAUGGAGGGGGAUAACUACUGGAAACGGUGGCUAAUACCGCAUACUAUCGGAUGUACCCAUAUGGGAUUAGCUAGUAGGUGGGGUAAAGGCUCACCUAGGCGACGAUCUCUAGCUGGUCUGAGAGGAUGACCAGCCACACUGGAACUGAGACACGGUCCAGACUCCUACGGGAGGCAGCAGUGGGGAAUAUUGCACAAUGGGCGAAAGCCUGACGGAGCAAUGCCGCGUGUGUGAAGAAGGUCUUCGGAUUGUAAAACUCUGUUAGCAAGGAAGCGUUACUCAAACAAGAAGCAACGGCUAACUACGUGCCAGCAGCCGCGGUAAUAC
rnacentral:rRNA from 1 species